rnacentral:rRNA from 1 species
GAUGAACGCUAGCGAUAGGCUUAACACAUGCAAGUCGAGGGGCAGCAUGGUCUUAGCUUGCUAAGGCUGAUGGCGACCGGCGCACGGGUGCGUAACGCGUAUGCAACUUGCCUCACAGAGGGGGAUAACCCGUCGAAAGACGGACUAAUACCGCGUACACUCUAUGUUGGGCAUCCAAUGUAGAGGAAAUGAAAUUCGCUGUGAGAUAGGCAUGCGUCCCAUUAGCUAGUUGGUGAGGUAACGGCUCACCAAGGCGACGAUGGGUAGGGGAACUGAGAGGUUGAACCCCCACACUGGUACUGAGACACGGACCAGACUCCUACGGGAGGCAGCAGUGAGGAAUAUUGGUCAAUGGACGAGAGCCUGAACCAGCCAAGUCGCGUGAAGGAUGACUGUCUUAUGGAUUGUAAACUUCUUUUAUACGGGAAUAACAAGAGUCACGUGUGGCUCCCUGCAUGUACCGUAUGAAUAAGCAUCGGCUAACUCCGUG